CUCAUAUAUAAAUAUACGGCUAGACACACACGCGUCACUUCUGGGUUUCACGCGAACCAUUGGAUGGAAGCAGCGGCGGCGUGACAAAUAAAAAAAGGAAGCGGCGGCGGCGUGACGCAGUCCGGAUCUCACAGGACACGAGCCGGACGGCUUGGUUAUGAGGCUCAGGGCUUCUCGCCACCACCGCAGCCAGCUGAUGUACAUAGCGUACGGGUGGUUGCAGUCUGCUACACUCCAGCGAUUCCCAUGAUUCCGACGGCGUGGUCCUCUGCAUCCUCGGUCGUCUCCUCCUAAACAUCUGCCCAUCUCGCUUCACCAGGCCAUGCCCGGAGCAAGCGGCAUGCCAAGGCAGCCUUGUCCCUCUUUCUUGUGGCCAAUGGGGGAAUCCAUGCCGGGGAGCAACAUGCACCAAUGGAGUUCCUGCAGAGCAGAGCACGGAGACCAUGGUGUCCGUCACAGUCGUCGUGACCGCUCGCGCCGGAUUUCCUCCUCCGACAGCAAAAAAAGGUUCGCGCGCGCCAACUCCUACAGAUAGUUUGCGGGUUCUUUGUAUCGAGUACAGAGUUGGGAAAUUUGUUGUGGAUUUUGUGAGAUUGAUAUACCUGAGGCGUAGCCAUCCGCGUCUUCUAUUAUCCAUGAAGCUGCUAUAUAUAGAUGUGUUUUUUUUCGUCUGGAUACAUGCACCGGUUCCGCUCAGGACUGUACUGAUUCAUACUUUCGAGGUAAUUUAGGUGAACCCGGGUGAUUAAAUUUUGUCGUACUUCCAUGCAUGCUCCCCUCUCUCAGUUUCUCUAGCGAUGUGUUGCUUCUGUGUUUCGUUGGUGGCACCAGACCAAUUCAUCUCUACCACAUGACCUGAUGCUCUGUAUUUUUUGGGACUUAUUUGUCUUCUGGAAGAAGCUAGCUUUCACGUAUUUAGGUGUGAUUUAUCUAGAAAAGGAAAACUAUAUGAGGCAAGCCAACGGCAAGAAAGACAAACCGGACGACGCCAGACUGUUGGAAGCUGACAUGCUGGAUCCAUGGUGGGCUGGUGCUUUGCAGAUGAACUGACUAAGAGAUUUAUGCGCUUUCCCAUCAAGAAGGUGCGGCGCUAUUCUACACUCUUCUCAAAGUAAUAGCUUAUUGGAUGCAUACAUCAUCUGUUUUUCUUCCAUUGACUCAGAACUACCUAUUUAUAAAGUAGUAAUGCUUUUCCAUGUCAUGGACAUGUCGCUGACCUCUGCGAGCGAGCGAUGGUGGUGAGAGUAUGCAAUAUAGAAUGGACUUGAAAACGGCAUCCACAAAUUGCAUUGUAAGAGGUGGUACCUUGUAGAGGCAAGGCCUAUGGGGGCGGCAUCUAGGCCCUGAUGACGGCAACGGUAAGGUGUACAUUAGGUACAAAGCUACACAACCUCACCUUCUAUCUGGAGUUCUCGACAAAGACGGGCCAGGCACCAGCUUCAUCAUACACAGAGUCGAGUUAUGUCACCACCAUGAUGAUGAAUGGCGACCCGUCUUUGAAAAUCAAACGAGCGGAAGCAGAAUGACUCUUAUCGACUUUCUCGACUCCAAUCUCCCUUAGAAUGCUCUUUUUUAUAUUUUCUAUAUUUCCUCCUCAAUACCUAUCGGUAUUGCAUGUCGGAUGUGCCAUUGCUUAUAGCGACAAUCUUGAAUUGGGGGAUAGAGAUAAUGGGUGGAAUAAGAAGAAGAAAAGUGAGUUAAACGUUAACAAAAAUCGGCAAUGCUAUCUGACGUGUACGAGGAUCCUAAAGGUACAUAUUUGACAGGUUUGAUAAUAUUGCACAAUUAGAAUAUCUAUGCCUUCGAGCCUGAUUCUCAGGCCUUGCAUUCUUCCAUUGCAGCGCACGGGCUCUUUUGCUAGUAUAUAUAUAUAUAUAUAUAGAAUGUGUUAUGUUUAAAAAUUAGGGCAAUUAAUUGUUGUAGGGCCAGUCUUGUAUGGGACUCUUAUACAUUCAUACAAUAUUUGAUUCAUCCAAAUUUAAUACUUAUCCGCUGCUGGCAGUCGACACCAAA